AGGGGGUGUGAGAGCAUGGCCCCCCACAAAUGGGACUGGAACACGGNCCAUACUCCUACGGGAAGGCAGCAGCAGGGAAUAUUGCACAAUUGGACGGAAGUCUGAUGCAGCGACGCCGCGUGGAUGAAGAAGGCCCUCGGGGUUGUAAAAUCCUUUACAGUGGGGAAGAGGAAGGACGGUACCCCUGGAACAAGUGUCGGCUAACUACGUGCCAACAGCCGCGGUAAGACGUAAGACACAAGCGUAUCCGGGAUGUACCUGGGCGUAAAGCGUCUGCAGGCGGACAGGUAAGUUUGGGCGUGAAAGCUCCGGGCCCAACCCGGAGAGGUCGUUCAAUACUGCGUGUCUAGAGGGUGUCAGAGGGGAGUGGGAAUUUCCGGAGAAGCGGUAAAAUGCGCAGAGAUCGGAAAGAACACCAAUGGCGAAGGCAGCUCCCUGGGGCAACCCUGACGCUAAGAGACGAAAGCUAGGGGAGCGAACAGGAUUAGAGACCCUGGUAGUCCUAGCCCUAAACGAUGGAUGCUGGAUGUGGGGCCAUAGCGCUCCGUGUCGAAGCGAACGCGUUAAGCAUCCCGCCUGGGGACUACGGCCGCAAGGUUAAAACUCAAACGAAUUGACGGGACCCCGCACAAGCAGCGGAGCGUGUGGUUUAAUUCGAUGCUACACGAAGAACCUUACCUGGGUUUGACAUCUAGGUGGUAGUGAAGCGAAAGCGGAGCGACCCUUCGGGGAGCCUAGACAGGUGCUGCAUGGCUGUCGUCAGCUCGUGCCGUGAGGUGUCGGGUUAAGUCCCGUAACGAGCGCAACCCUUGCCCUCCGUUAUACGUGUCAGAGGGGACUGCCGGCGGUAAGCCGGAGGAAGGUGGGGAUGACGUCAAGUCAGCAUGGCCUUUAUAUCCAGGGCUACACACACGCUACAAUGGCCAGUACAAAGGGCAGCGAAGCCGCGAGGUGGAGCGAAUCCCAGCAAAGCUGGUCGUAGUUCGGAUUGCAGGCUGCAACCCGCCUGCAUGAAGCUGGAGUUGCUAGUAACCGCGCGUCAGCCAUAGUGCGGUGAAUACGUUCCCGGGGUUUGUACACACCGCCCGUCACGUCAUGGGAGUCGAUAACGCCUGAAGCCGGUGGCCUAGCUCGGAAGAGAGGGCGCUGUCUAAGG
rnacentral:rRNA from 1 species